AACACGCCAUUUAAAAACAACUCAAACAAACUUCAUAAUCCUACAGUUUAAAAUACAUUUACCCAGCACUAAUGGUCUGGAUUUAAUGCCAAAAGGUUUCAUGCCUUAAAAUGUGCUACUUUUAGCACCAAGCAGCGACUGACCCGCUCCUCAUUCAGGAAUGUUGGAGAGCAGGUUGAAGAAUGAGCGCUCUGGUUCUGUAGGAGAGCGACACUAAAGGAGAGGAUAAGGAGGAAGAUGGGUGACUGCGUCUGCAGCUAGCGCGCACACACACGGACUGGUUAUGAACUCUGGGAUUUGGAUGUCUUGACAACCUUUUAUUUUGGGGAAUUGCAGCAGUUUUCAUCUGAAUGUGUCAACAGAGACCUUCCUUAAAAAGCAACAGAAAAAGAACCAAACAGGAAAGAAGAGAAAUGAAUGUGAACCACACGACCUCCUUCAGCUCAACUCCAAAUAUGAAACCUGAAUUCCCUGGGUACUACGCCCUCUUGCCUCUUGUUGUACUCGCACUGAGUAGCUGCAUAGUGGCAGUGGUUUUCUAUAUGAAAAGGAGAAGAAGACUAGAUGAGCUGCGCCACCAUCUGAUUCCGGUUUACACCUACGACCCCGGAGAGGAAGAGGAAGACUGGAGAGAUUAUGACAAAGACGAUGAGGAAGAGCUGGCUGAACCUUUGUACACGGAUUCACAGCUCUCCUUUGAUAGAACAUGAGCAGGAAGGAAAGAAGGAGGAUUUCAACUAGGAAAUAAUCUUAUUUUACUAAUUGUAGUGGAAAGGCUUGACUGACAACAAUGCAAUAAACCAUUAAAACCUGCUGCUGCAUUAAUCAAUGUGCUGUAUUGGCCACCAGAUGGCGCCACAGUCUUGAUCUUUGCCUCAGAAAUGUUUUUAUAUUGUUCCUUUUUUUCUUACGGGACUGUACAGAGUUUUGUUGUUUUUAGUCAAAGUAGUGACUAUGAUGUAGUUUUACAUGAAUAAACUGAGAAGUGCAAAAGUGGUUUGGAAGCCUUGUGUCUUCUUGUUUCUUACCCCAUAUUUGCAGUGACUUUAAUGCUGCUUUCUAGUUGUAUUAGGAACUGGGAAAUUCCGACCACCCAGUCGGAAAAGCCAACUGAAACGCCCUCUGAGCCAUAUCUUCCACUGGGAAACUGGGAGCAACUCCAACUACCCCCCAGUUAAGACCGCGUUUCAAUGUGGCCGCUCGUCGCAUCAACAGUAGUAAGAUGUAGUGGAAACCACAGACAUAAUAUAAUGAGUAAACCCCGCAUUGGCUGCUCUGGCGCAGGAAAUACGGCAGCCAUCUUGGAGCGGUCGUCCCUCCUACUUGGCUAAACCAAACACCAGAAAAAGCCUCAGCACUGCCGGAUAUUUUUGUUCAGAUUGACAGACUAUUGACGUGAGAUCUCGGGGGAUAACGUUUCACAAGUAAGAUGGACAUAUUACCCUUUAUUUUUUAUGAAUAGAAUAUUACUAUACUGUAUUUCUGUCCACCGGCAAAAUGCCAGCUAAUACUAGCUAUAGCCGCCCUAAAUCUCGUCAGCGGCAAUAGGCAAGAGCGGUGCACGAGGCAUCUAUUCUUUAUAUACGUCUAUGGUGGAAACAGGUUUGUUUUACAAGACGAAACCCAUUUUUUCCUUUUUUUAAAAAUAUUGCUAGCUUACUUUUAUUGUUCUGGACUUUAUUUUUUUUUUUUUUUAGUUUCGCUAGCUUAUAGUUGUAACCGAGGAUCUCUGAAACGUAUUAACUUAGAUUUGAUAACGGCAGUUUGUGUUAGCCGGUCCGACAUUAGCAGCGUCUUGCCCAUAAUUUCGCCUUCCGCCUCUUAACAGGACGUCCGGUUACAUUUCAAAGUAAGAGCACCAACAGCAACGGAGUGCUCUUUUAAUAGUUAAAGGAAGCGAUUUUUCGAGUCCGCUUUGGUUACUAAAAUAACGUGAAACUGACAUAAGUAGUAUAAAAACAAAUGUAAAAAAUUUACAUUAUUCAAAAAAUAAUGUUAUUCAAACGGACUUUUAGACAAUUAAAUUGUACCCUUUAACUUUUUAAAGCAAAUAAUUUCUGUAAGCUUCUGAAGAGUUUCUGCUGCUGAUUCUAGCUAAUUAGUGUUUCAUUUCUUUAGAAACCCCCACUUAAAGACUGCAGAGAACCCGCUCUGGCAUUGAACACACCUGUUUCUGAUUGAUAAUCAGAGGAACUGAGGAGGUUGGCACAUAUUUAAAUUGAUUGGUGGGGGGUGGCUUACACUUACAGGAAGAUGGGGUACCAAAGAAAAAGCAGGUAAAAAUUCAAUUCAUACAAAGAUACUAAAAACAUCAAUUAAUUUUCUAAUUGACUAUCUUUUCUUUCCAUCAGAGUGGAUGUCCAUGUUUCUGCCUGGCACCUGACCUCUACCCUCUUGCUUUUUGCUUUGAUCUUCCCUGCUUUCACUGUGGGGACCCUUCUUUGUAACUUCUGCCCCCUGAUGCCCAAAAAUGUACCCUGCCAAAUCCUCAACACGGAGUGUCCGCCCAACCAUCGCUGCGCCAGUUCCUGGGGAUGGCAAGGCUUCCGCCAUGUUCUGUCCUCUCAAGGCUGCUUGGAUAUCAAACUCUGCAACUCCCAGGAAAUGGUCAGAUAUCGGGGUCAACAGUACGACCUCACUCACAGCUGCUGCUGUGGAAACAAAUGCAACCUGACACCAAGGACCAACGCCAGCCUGAUCACAUCACUUUAUUUAAAAACUAGUCCAGAUAAGCUCAUCUCCACUCUAAUGAAGAUGCUCCGGAGUCCCUGUUCAAACCAAACCGCAUCAUCUUCUGAUAUAAAAUUAUAACUGUGUGUUGAAGACGGAGUGGAGGCCUGUUUACCGCUGGACCUAACCUUAGUUCUCAAAAGUAAACUCACAUUUAGUCAGAUGUUUGUUUGCUUAAACGUUUUAAACUGAUGUGAAAAUAUGGAAGAGGAAAAAAUAGUAUUGGUUAUUGGUGGUUUUCACAUGUUUAACCCAGAGAGAAAAGGUUGGCUUGUUCAUCCAUCCUCCUGAUUGACUGUGGUCAAGGCUGGUCAAUAAAGCACCAUGAUUAAGAAACAAUUGUCUUGUUUAUUGAAAGCAGGUGUGCUUAAAGGUGUGAUUUUUUUUCUAAAGACACUGAGUGAAAACAUUCAUGUUCUACUAAGUUUGGCUGGUUGGAGUUAAACUGUGAAAUGGCUGGGUAAGUUUUAAAGCUCACUAAAAUUCUACUGCAUUUCCUUUCUAACUUUAACACACUGGGUGUGACAGUGAAAUUGGUAACACCUGUUAAAGGCAUGCUGACAAAGUAAGUGAAAUGACUAAAGUCACGGAGAGGGAAAUCAACUCGGGUUCGUCUUGUUUCCGUAAACAUGCACAACUUGGAAUUACAAAAAUAAACUUGCUUAAUAAGAAACCUGCCAAUUAAGUUGUUUUUUUCCCAGCUGUAUCAAAAAUAAAUGUUGCAAAACAAUAGAAACACUUUUUGAAUUGCAAGUUGUGUGAUAACCAGAUAGUGGGAAAGAAGACAGGAAGUGUUAGGCUGUUGGUGCGCCGUGAAUUCACAUGUAAUUUACAACUUAUUUAAUGGAAACGCCACAAAUGCAAAAUGUU